rnacentral:tRNA from 1 species
GGGGUUGUGGCUCAGUGGAAGUUCUUCUGCCCUGCAUUCAGAAAGACCCAGGUUCAAUUCCUAGCAUCUCCA